GUUUUGUGGCCUAGUGGUUAGAGCGUCCGCCUUGGAUGCGGGAGGUCGUGGGUUCUAUCAACUGUCGAGUCAUGCCAAAGACU